GUGCUCGCUUCAGAAGCACAUAUACUAAAACUGGAACGAUAUAGAGAAGAUUAGCAUGGCCCCUUCGCAAGGAUGGCAUGCAAAUUUGUGAAGCGUUCCAUAUUAAA
rnacentral:snRNA from 1 species